AAUAGAAUGGCCAGAGGUGUUGUUUUCUGACAUUUAUUGUCACCUGACUGAGUCACCAGGAUAAAAUGAAACAUUGACAUAGGCAUCCCACUUUCAAAAAUAUGCAAGUGUCAUCUACAGCCUUCUGUUAUAUAGGAGAAAGAGUGAGAGUGCGACUAGAUGUCUGGCAACUUGCGGUAAUCAUAAAAAGGCAUGAGCAACCAUGAUCCUUCAUCAUACAAGCUCCAGUUGGAAAAACAUACAGGAGGAACAGAAAACAUAUUAAGACUGGAGAAAAAAGUCUUACAACAACAACAGACAACACAGUCAAUGACACCAAUAGUGAGAUGGACUCGCAUGUCACUGACACUCAAUCAUCUACGAUUGACAAGGACACACAAAAAACAAUUACCUGAGUCUCAACCGCAGGGAUACAUUACCAGGUCAGGUAGAGAAGUGAAAAUGCCCUCAAGGUACAAGGACUGAACAGCAGUAUACACUAAAUGUGUAUACAACAGUAACCUGAGUUUUGUUUUGAAUAAUUUGUGCAGUUUAAAAAAAAAGUUCGAUGUUCAUAAGAUUGCUCAUAAAGAGUUUCUAUUUAGCAUUUAAAACUGUUUAAUUAAAAUAUUAUGUUGUAAAGAGUUUACACUUACAUUUGUUUACUAAAGCACAUUUUGAGACUGCCUUUAAACAGACAAGACUGUUUUGCAGAUUGAUGUCAAUAUAUUUGUUUAGUUGUUUAGUUGUUUAAUUAGUUAAUAAUAAUUACAAGUUGGAUAGUUGAACUUAAGAAGGGGGAUGUCAUGUAUUUUGUAUGAUUGGACUACCCGUACCUGUGUGACGUCAUCGAUAGUUGUUUUUCAGUAAAAAUACCUCGCUGCUGCA